rnacentral:tRNA from 1 species
AGUAAAAUCAGCUAAAUAAGCUAAUGGGCCCAUACCCCAUAAAUGUCGGUUAAUUACCUUCUUUUACUA